ACACCUUCAUUUCUAAUUCAUUUCUGAUUCACCUACCCUCACCUUUCUUUCUAAACCCUAAUUCCCUCCCUCCCUGCCUUCAUCAAAAUCCUCUCCUCCUACGUGUUCGUGGAGCAUCUCUCCCCGUUGCCUUCAUCAGUCUUUCCUGUGUUCAUUUCUGCUUCGUGCUUCAUCAACCUUGGGCUGAGCGUUGAGGCCGUGGCAACAAGGACGAGGCGGCGAGGACUCUGCCUUCAUCAACCUUGGGCAAGGGCGAGCGUCGAGGUCUAAGCCCUAAUUUUUCUGGACUUGCGCCUGAAAUUCCAGAGGAUUUGUACCAUUUGAUUAAGAAGACAGUUUCUAUUAGGAAGCAUCUGGAGAGAAACAGAAAGGACAAGGACUCAAAGUUUAGGUUGAUUCCAGUGGAGAGCAGAAUCCACCGUCUUGCUCGCUACUACAAGACCAAGAAGCUCAUAUUAUUUGGUAGAUAAUUUUUUUCUUAUCGAGGAAUUCCUUCUUCUUAAGUUAGGCUCAAUCAUGGCCAUAUUGCAAGUUUCAUAUAUGUCUACCAAAGAUCUUACUCUUCUUGGACUAGAUUCAGGUGAAGAAUCUUGUUGUUGUGGAGGUGGAGAAAGCGUACCUGAAUUUUCUGCUUCUUCUUGAGUUUCUUCUUGAGACUGAUGCAUUGGAAGUUGUAGACUCGAUAGCCUUUUGANUGUGUGCUAUAUCCCAAGAAUAUUCCUCGUAUAGUCUUGUCUUCAAGCUUGUGCCUCCUUUGAUCAGGAACAUCUUGAGGAAUGCACUCUCCACAUUGUCACCGCUGAGAGCUGAAGUCUCAGAGAAGAAGAGUCCUCAGCAAACUCCACUGCAUCUUCAGUUGACACCAUUCUCUGCUCCACAAGCUUCAAGAUGUUUUCCUAUGAUUUGAUCCUUUUGGGCACCAAAAGUUGCUUUCCUUUUGAUUACUGUUGAUUAUUGUUGAUUUCCUUUUGGUGCAAAGGAAACAGCUGAUCUUAACUGGCCAUAGAUCUUUAAGUUGCAUGAGUUGGAGCUGGAACCAAUUUGCCUGUGCAUGAAUGAAUAUAUGUACUCAGUGCCUAUAAAAAGUACAAAAUAUAGAGGCAUAUUUAUUUGUUUUUGUAAUGAUCAUCUUAUUCGAGGGAGCAGAUAAGGGAUAGGUUUUAAAGCAUCUCUGAUUGAGAAUGAUAAUGUUGUAGGAUAUUUUUCAUGUCAUAAUAUUCCAUAUUUCAUUUUGAGGUAUUUAUUAUCAGGGUAAUUUUUUUCAUAUAAUUAAUACCAUAUAUUUAUAUGUUAA